rnacentral:tRNA from 1 species
ACUUAAAUAGCUUAUAUUUAGAGUAUGAUAUUGAAGAUGUCAGGGAAAUUGAAUAAUUUUUAAGUA